UACGGAGGGUGCAAGCGUUAAUCGGGUUUAUUGGGCGUAAAGGGCGCGUAGGCGGGGAGCCAAGUUAGAUGUGAAAUCCCGGGGCUCAACUCCGGACCCGCAUCUAAUACUGCUUUUCUAGAGGAUGGAUGGAGAAAAGGGAAUUCCACGUGUAGCGGUGAAAUGCGCAGAUAUGUGGAAGAACACCAGUGGCGAAGGCGCUUUUCUAAUUCAUUCCUGACGCUGAAGCGCGAAAGCAAGGGGAGCAGACAGG
rnacentral:rRNA from 1 species